rnacentral:rRNA from 1 species
AUUGAACGCUGGCGGCAGGCCUAACACAUGCAAGUCGAACGAGUGGCGGACGGGUGAUUAAUGUCUGGGAAACUGCCCGAUGGAGGGGGAUAACUACUGGAAACGGUAGCUAAUACCGCAUACCAUCGGAUGUGCCCAGAUGGGAUUAGCUAGUAGGUGGGGUAACGGCUCACCUAGUCGACGCUCCCUAGCUGGUCUGAGAGGAUGACAAGCCACACUGGAACGGAGACACGGUCCAGACUCCGCCGGUAGGGAGCAGUGGGGAAGAUUGUAGAAUGGGCGCAAGCCUGAUGCAGACAUGCCGCGUGUAUGAAGAAGGCCUUCGGGUUGUAAAGUACUUUCAGCGAGGAGGCGUUACUCGCAGAAGAAGCACCGGCUAACUCCGUGCCAGCAGCCGCGGUAAUUC